UACGAAGGGGGCUAGCGUUGCUCGGAAUGACUGGGCGUAAAGGGCGCGUAGGCGGAGUGCUUUGUCAGGCGUGAAAUUCCAGGGCUUAACCUUGGGGCUGCGUUUGAGACGGGCAUUCUUGAGUAUGGAAGAGGGUCGUGGAAUUCCCAGUGUAGAGGUGAAAUUCGUAGAUAUUCGCAAGAACACCGGUGGCGAAGGCGGGUCUCUGGGCCGAUACUGACACUGAGGAGCGAAAGCGUGGGGAGCGAACAGG
rnacentral:rRNA from 1 species